GGUGUACUUCAAUCAGUCGUUGAAGCCAAAGAAGAUGAAUCAAAGAGAGGUUAGCGGUGAAGUUCCGGUCGAAGAUCAGAGUAUUGAUUUGUUGCUUUGAAGGAUGAGAUUAGAGAUCUAUUGAAGUUAUCAUCUCUGUUAUAAAGUACCUUUAAUUGUUUGUUGAAAUCUAUUGGUAGUUUGUUAUAAACUCAUCCCCAAAUUUCAGUUACGUGAUUUGAAGGAAGCGAAAGAAGAGGUUGCUAAGUACAAGAUUGAUGAGAAUGUUCAGAAGGAAACCAUAAACCACAAAUCCUUGAGGCAUCCAAAUAUUGUCAGGUUCAAAGAGGUCUUGUUGACUCCAAGUCAUUUAGCUAUUGUCAUGGAAUAUGCAGCUGGUGGUGAGCUAUUUGAGAGGAUAUAUAGUGCUGGUAGAUCUAGUGAAGCUGAGGUGUUGAUUUUUCUUCCAGCAGCUGAUAUGUGGAGUCAGCUACUGUCAGUCCAUGGUAAAUUAUAUUUGAUGCAGAUACAUUAUGAAAUGGUUUCCUUGUUUAAAAUAAUAUUGCUUCUUUUCUCACGUUAACCUCUUAUACAUUACAAUUACUUUAUAGUCUGUUGCUCUCUUACUUAAUGUUAAAAAAUUAGACACUUUGAGGCUGUGGUUAUAUCUAAGUGGGGAUUUUGAGUUCAGGUAUGUAAUGCUGCCUAUUUGGAUAUUGUUUAUUUAGCACAAGAUAAAUCAGUACUGACUGCUGCAUUCCAUUGGUAUGCAACAGAUCUCCCAUUUUCCUUUCUAGGAGCAAAUGAUUAUAUAUGGUUUACAUGCUCUAUCCAAAUUUUUAGGCUUUCAAAUUUGCUGGACUCGGUUUUUCUGUAGGCGUCAUUUAUUAGAAUUUCUUAAAUUACUUGUGUAAAAUUAAUUAGUUGUAAACGUGACUAGUGAUUGAAAUCUCAUUUAUAAGGCUAGGCCUCAUCCAAAUGAAUGUUCUGGAAGUGAUCUUGAUGGAGAUAUUUACUUUGUUUGUUGGGACCCCGAGUUGAUUCCUUGCAAUCAAAUCCAACCUAUGGAUUAUACCCCAGCACCAACUAUAGAGAUGGAUCAUGAUGUCACAAUUGAGCAAACAUGUUCCAUAAGCAAGGGGGAGAUCAAUUGGAGCAAGCUGCUGAGGCCCAUGAUACUGCAAAAGCCACCUAAUAAGCUUGAGGUAGG